rnacentral:rRNA from 1 species
UACGUAGGGUGCGAGCGUUAAUCGGAAUUACUGGGCGUAAAGCGUGCGCAGGCGGUUCGUGAUGUCUGAUGUGAAAGCCCCGGGCUCAACCUGGGAAUUGCAUUGGAAACUAGCGGGCUGGAGUGUGGCAGAGGGGGGUGGAAUUCCUGGUGUAGCGGUGAAAUGCGCAGAUAUCAGGAGGAACACCGAUGGCGAAGGCAGGUCUCUGGGCAUUAACUGACGCUGAGGAGCGAAAGCAUGGGGAGCGAACAGG